rnacentral:rRNA from 1 species
AUGUGCUCUAUUUGUGGAGUAGAAGAUGAAAGCACUUUUCAUGCCCUCGUUGCUUGUUCUAAGGCUCGUGCUCUGCGACUCGCCUUGAGAGAAUCAUGGAAUAUUCCUGAUGAAGAUUGGUUCAAAUUCUCAGGGCCAGAUUGGCUAUUGAUUCUGUUGGAUCAUUUGAGCCUGCAACAGCGAGAUCAAGUUUUGUUUCUUUUCUGGCGAGCAUGGCACCUGAGAAAUGAUUUAAUUUUUGGAAAAGGGCAGGAAUCCAUUGCUGCUUUUGCAAUUUUUGUGGUAAACUAUUGGUCUUCUUUUACGUCUUGUCACGACACUGUCGAGGUUGUUCCUAGUAACAAAGGUAAAGGAAAAAUGGGGAUGCUACAUCAGUUUUCGCAACAUCACAACAACAGGUGGGAUGGAACCCUCCACCAUAAGAUUAUAUCAAGAUCAAUGUCGAUGCCAGCUAUGUGGAGAGUAUUAAUGCGGCCAGUGUGGGGGUGA